rnacentral:pre_miRNA from 1 species
AUGUAGGACAAUCUGUCUUUAAAAAAAAAAAGAAAGAAAGAAUCCCAGGUAGUUUCCCUUCAAGUCAAGAGUCUUGU